rnacentral:tRNA from 1 species
GGCCGCGUGGCCUAAUGGCUAAGGCGCUAGAUUUCGGUUCCAGAUCUCCCCAACUCUCUAGAGAUUCCAGGUAGGUUCUCAUUCAAACGAGCUUCUCCGCAUCCAGGCAAUAGACUAACAUCUCCAAAAGGUUCGACUCCUGGCGUGGUCG